CCUACGGUGGACUGCAGUGAGGAAUAUUGGUCAAUGGGCGAGAGCCUGAACCAGCCAAGUCGCGUGAAGGAUGACGGCCCUACGGGUUGUAAACUUCUUUUGUCAGGGAGCAAUUGGGUCCACGCGUGGGCUUAGCGAGUGUCCCUGAAGAAAAAGCAUCGGCUAACUCCGUGCCAGCAGCCGCGGUAAUACGGGGGAUGCGAGCGUUAUCCGGAUUUAUUGGGUUUAAAGGGUGCGUAGGCGGAAUAUCCAGGCAGCGGUAAAAAUUCGGGGCUUAACCCCGUCGUGCCGUUGAAACUGAUGUUAUUGAGUGGGCGAGAGGUAUGCGGAAUGCGUGGUGUAGCGGUGAAAUGCAUAGAUAUCACGCAGAACUCCGAUUGCGAAGGCAGCAUACCGGCGCCCAACUGACGCUGAAGCACGAAAGCGUGGGUAGCGAACAGGAUUAGAUACCCCUGUAGUC
rnacentral:rRNA from 1 species